rnacentral:rRNA from 1 species
UGGGGAAUCUUCCGCAAUGGACGAAAGUCUGACGGAGCAACGCCGCGUGUAUGAUGAAGGUCUUCGGAUUGUAAAGUACUGUCAUUGGGGAAGAACGGUUUUCUUGAAAAGAUUGAGAAGACAUGACGGUACCCAAGGAGGAAGCCCCGGCUAACUACGUGCCAGCAGCCGCGGUAAUACGUAGGGGGCAAGCGUUGUCCGGAAUUAUUGGGCGUAAAGGGCGCGUAGGCGGGCCUUUAAGUCCGGUGUGAAAGAUCAGGGCUCAACCCUGAGAGUGCAUCGGAAACUGGAGGCCUUGAGGACAGGAGAGGAAAGUGGAAUUCCACGUGUAGCGGUGAAAUGCGUAGAUAUGUGGAGGAACACCAGUGGCGAAGGCGACUUUCUGGACUGUAACUGACGCUGAGGCGCGAAAGCGUGGGGAGCAAAACAGGAUUAGAUACCCUGGUAGUCCACGCCGUAAACGAUGAGUGCUAGGUGUAGAGGGUAUCGACCCCUUCUGUGCCGCAGUUAACACAAUAAGGCACUCCCGCCUGGGGAGUACGGCCGC